CAAGACAAAACUCAUACCUUAAUGACUAUUCAAUGUCAGUGUACUGAAUUGUUUAUUAGCUUAUAGUUUAUAUGUCUAGUGUAGUAUCCGGGUGCUGGUCAUCCGGCGGUGAAUCCUGGUAGUAGAUCUUUCAAUAGCGAACCACGAGAUAUUACACUGGCGACGAGGAUGGUGACGUUUGGGCGAUUGGCAGCAUUCGAUGAAGCCAAAGACAACUGGUGGCAGUACGCCGAACGGAUGCAGCAGUUCUUCGUGGCUAACGAGAUAGAAGAUGAUCAGCACCCGGAUACUACAUCUAGAAGUUAGAAGACUGUUCUCAUGACAUUUACUAGACUCGUACCCAUGCAGUCCUCCUCCUUGCGCGCGUUCCACGUGUCUAACAUUUACAGCACGAGAAGUUUCAGACAGUGACAGCAGUCUGCUCCAUCUGUGAAAACUCCUCCUAUUGAUCAAACUGUGAAUGAGGGUGCAGACUUUGUAGAAUUCAACUGCACUUUUGCUCAGAAAGAACCUGAACCGACAUUUAGCUGGACAUUUACGAACAAUGAUGGUCAUAUGGAGACAGUGCAAGAGCAGCCACGUCUUCCAAGUUCAAGGACAAGUUUUGUUAGAAUAUCUUCAAUUUCAAGGGACAAAAGUGGUCGUUAUGAUUGCGUUACCGAGAAUGAAUUUGACAGUGUCACUUCAUCAGCACAUU